rnacentral:lncRNA from 1 species
UAGAUAAAUACUGUUCAUUUUAUUAAGGAACAUGCUUCUACUUCAUGCACAGCUGAGCUUUAACAAUAGUGAUUUUUGUUAUACUGCUGUAUGGGACCUGCUGAGUCACAGCCUGAAACACUGAUUGAGCACCUGGGGAAAGGACUCGGUCAGCCCUGGGAGCACAGGUGGAGGCAAUUCAGCUUUGUGACCAGAAGGGGUGCAGCCUGGCUGCACCUCUCUUAGACCCCAUUUAAAGGCUGACUGCCACUAGAGAAGGGUUUCUUUCUGGAGGUCCCUCCUUGGUGAAGUUUUCCCUUUGAACCUGGAAUCUUAUGAUAUGGGUGAGGUUAAAAUCACAGGACAAGAAGAGCAUGCUCCAAAAAUAAAAGCAGACUUUGGCUUAUGCUGUCCAGCGAAUUGCCAUAUGAAAGCAGGAGGAUUUCGGGGGGAAGAGCUGUGUUUUUCUUUUGCGGUCUUUUAUGAACUACUGCUCUUCAGGGACAGAGACCACUUGUGCAAGAGGGAGAGCAAUUGCUUAUUGAUGUAAUUGUUGCAAAUGAAGACAGUAUAAAGGGGAGGUAACUGACAGCAUCUUUCUGAAAGAUAUGCAGAGACUCUCCGGCUUCAUUGGGAUUGUUUGUACAUGUUGCCAGAUACUUGUCCUAAGUGGUGUUUGUUUCCUUUCCAUAAAGAAGACACCAGCUCUGGUCGCUGAUAAAACAAAGCUUGGCAAAGUCCCAAGCACAAUAUCUUGUUCUGGGAAUGCACUCAACUUGAUCUUCUCAUUUACCUCACAGGCAUUCAUUCUUCAAAAGCCAAGGGCGUACAUCUUUGGGAGAUGAAGCUGCAAAAGAAUUUUGAAUAGAUUGAACCUGGGGAUGCUUCUGGCUCAGUUAGUAUUAAUGGCAAGUUGGCUUUGGAAAAUGACAAACUCCGCAGUCUGGUGCUGGAAGAAUUAGAAGGGCUUGAAACGUGGGAAAAUAAUGGAGAAACAGCUUUGAAGUGGUUAUUCAUCUCCUUCAAAUACACCCACCGGACAACUGGGACAGAUACAAGCCGCAAAGGGAGGUACCUCCCAUGGUCAGCCCUGCAGAAGUUAGAAAGGAGUGGGGAGAAGAAAUGGUGGAGCUGGCAACAUCUUUGUGAUCUCUCAAGUGGAUCCACAGCCCAGGUGGAGCAUCCUGUUCUACUAAAGGUUGUAGAAACAUUUCUAUCCCACCUCUUUGUCUUUGGGCUGAGUCCAGAAAACUUCAGUGACAUCUGGGAAAAAAGUGAUGAAACUGUACCUGAACAACGACAUUAAAACGUAGCUUGCUGGCAGCAUGGGCUGUGUUAUGUGAGGUCUGCCUGUUCCUGCUUUACCCAGAGAGCACCAGCAGCAAGCUGGACAUGUCCUCAAACGGCUGCAGAAGUCAGGUUGUGAGAGCUGCACCGUGGCAGGUGAACUGCAACGUGAGUGAGCUUCUUGAGUGCUGUCCUUACCUGGGUGUAAAUGUGUGUUGUGUGGCACUGCAGUCCCAAUUUCUUUCACUUUUUCUAUUCCUGUUGGGACCGUGCCACUGGGCAAGAAGCGUGACAGUUCUUCUGCUGGGAGUUGACCUUCAGUUUUGUCCAAACAGUCACAUACAGAGGUUGUCUAACCUUGCUUGAGUUGAGAAAGAAAGAUUCUUUGAAUGGCAGGAGAUGCGAGGUGGCUGUACAGAGGGCUGUACAUAUGUGAGGCACUGCGCACAUAGUCUGUGGGUGAUGAUGUGAGAGAAAGUUUUCCCUUUAUGGAGCCGAGGCAUUUCCAAAACCACGUGAAGGGGUGGUUGGAUAAACUUCAUAUUGCCCACGACUGUGCAUAGCCAUCCAGCUACUCAAUCAACAUUUUAUAGGGGAUCAUCUAUAGUGGUUAAUUAACAGACUAUAUAUUAUUUCCCCAGACCGUCGUUUCCUCUUGCCUUGCAUACUGUAUAAAAGAUAGAAGGGAAAUUCUACCAAAUCACAACAGAUCCCCUUUUGCAACAGGUGGAGAAGCAUGCUGGGUGUGAGGCCUCCUAACUGGACAUGCAGGUGCUUCAUUUCAUCUGCACCUGAAUUUGGAAGCAUUAGCGUUCCAGCCGCUCACCCUUCAUUUCAAGGUUUCUGAACUGCUUUAAUGAAGAAUGAUUUGAUUUUAAAGAUGAAAGGUCAGACUGUGCCAUCAGUUUAAUUGGAUUUGGCUGUGGCCACUUUGACGUUCAUUUGUGAUAGGAAAAAACAGAUUUAAGGGAUUUCAAUCACUCUAAAACUCAUAAACAGAGGGAAAAUGUUUCCUACCAUUGGUCAAUGAAAACUGGUGAGGAUCAUGGCCUGAGGCACAGGUAUGAGGUAAACAACCCCAAAACCUAUCUCUUUGGGGGGAAAAAAAAUAACAAAAGCGUAUCUGCUUUGUGAAACUCAAAACCUCACUGUUGAGGAAACUUUUAACUUUUCUUUUUGUUUCCAAAUGCCUACUGACGCAGCUAUAGGUAUCAAUUUCUUUGUACCCCAUAAAGUGGCGUUAGGUAUAAUUAGAGGAGUGUGGCCGUUAAGGGUUUUUUUCUCUCCUGGCACACUUCAAUGAGAGAACAGGCUCCCCCAAUUUCUAUUUCAUCCUUAAUUGCUUCUGAAAUUACUUUGAUGUGUGUACAACUUUAUCUGCUUAAUGUGACAUGGAAUCAUAUUCUUGCUCAAUAUAUUGCUGCUUAUUUUUGGACAAAGAGCACUGAAAUUUUGCAUGCAGAGUUAUUCAUCGUGGCAAAAGGAGGAAAAAGAGGAGAAGGAAAUCUGUAAAAAUUCCCAGGGAAUACAUUUUUGCAGCAUAUAUUUGUAUGCAGCAGCAUACAGCUGAACUGCCAUAAUGAAACAACAAAAUACCAUAGUUCUUCUGAUGGAUAUAAGUAGAUAAUCGAAGAUCUGUGCCUCGCUGUUCCUCAGAAGACUUCUUUUAAACUAAAAAUGAUUCAUUUGGAAUGAUUUCAGUUACUGAAGCAUGAAGCAGCAAGACCUAUUUUGGGAUAUUAAACAACAGCUAUGAUGGCUGUUACAGUGACUUGUAGGAGUCUUGCAGGUCAUCGAUAAGCUGCUACACCUGAGUUUGCAGGUGACAAAUCCCUGGAUGCAGUGCCAGGCUUUCAGUAUUGGUACUGAAUAUAUAUAUAUGGUAUGGAGGCUGUAUUUUGGGGAUUCAGGACUGAUCCCAGGUGGGUUCAUGGGUUGGACUUCCCUUUUGGCACUGCUACAUCCCGAUUUGGGAGCAGGGAGGCUCAUGGGGACCUGGUAUCACUGCAGUGCCUGCGGUGCUCCUUUGUUUUGAAGGAUUUUUUUUCUACACAUCUUUCCCAGUGAGUUGCCCUGCCUUAGAAAUGCUUAUAUCUGUGCCAACUGUGGAAUGCCCACAGGGGCGAGACCAGCAUGGGAGUAAUACCUAAUUAAAACUGCAGUGAAGUAGGUCAGCUAAUAUUUCACAAACAGCAGCAAGAGCUCUAAUUGUUCAUAGUUCAGAGUUCCUGUAUUUACUCUCAGCAACAACAAAAAAAAUGUAUAUCACCUAGAAAUGUGAUGAAAGCACAAACAGAAAACACAUGCCACAGUAGGUUACAAUUAUAAAUAUUCAUGGUAUUCAGUGAGUGUCAUGCUUUAACUCCUGCAGGUACAUUCAUCAGCAGUAGAUUAACAUUGUUCCUUGCAUCUUCUUGUAAGGCUGGGGGAGGAUUGGCCCAAGAGAGUUAAGUAUUGCCAAGUGAAAGAAGCAGAUGAGAAAGCCCUUUCAGUCACACACAAAAAAAGCAUAAGACUAUUAUAAAGAAAUGUAAUCCUGCUCUUCAGUGGCACAGUUGUUCGUAGCAUCAUAGGAGUACUUCAAACUUUCUGAAUUCAGAGCUUUAGACAAGUCUUCUGGGCCUUACUGGUCUGAGAAGCUAGGUGACAUGUGAUCCUUUUCCCAGAGAUCCAUCACCCUUUUUGCUUCCUUCUAGCAUUGAUGUAGCAAGAAAAGCUUAUACUUGUGAUGUGACAGAACUUUUAAUUUUGGUUGGAUCAAGGAAGUGCAGUGAUGGAUAAAAAUUCUUAAUAAGAGUGUUAAAAUGCUAAUGUUUUUAAACUCUCAGAAAGUACACGCGCUGUUUAAUUGUUUACUAUGACUAGCUAAAUGAAGAAAUGCCUGGAGGUUUCACAGAGUGAGAUGACCCCAUUAUACUGUAACUUUGGAAGCACUUUGCAUCUGACCACGUCUAGCCCUGAAAUCUCACAGCUCAGCCAAAGUGGUAGCUGUGAGAAGCAGGAUCCCUCAACCAGAGCUGCUACUGUUAAAUCUGUGCUUCAGAUCAGAGUCCAAGGAUUUUAUGUGGGAAAAAGCCCUGUACUUUUGUUUUCAUUUGUAAAUAUCAAAAAAUCAAUCUAGAACAAGACAGCACAAGUCUAGACAUCAAUUUUUAUACAGCUCUAUUUGUAUAAAGACAGAAGUUCAAUACAGCAGAGCAGAAGGUUCUAUCCCAGCAGAGCCUGCAGACAGCAGAUGCUCAUAACACACCCUCUUACAUUGUCCAAACAGCAAUUUCCCAAUUUACCAGAAACACUUCUAGCCACAUUGCUGCCUCUCUCCUUAAAUAUGCUUCUUGAGAUUGUGGGCCUUUAAACAGAGAGGGAAGUCAUGCCAGGUCCCAUCGCAGAAGGUAGGAGGCUUACAGCAAUGUGGGCCAACAUCUUCCUUUUUAGAUAGGUAAAUCGGUGGUUUUAUUUAUUUACUUGUUCAUUUUUUCUUUGCUGAGGUGUUAUGUGUGGUUUUCCAGCAAGGAAGCCACACAGCCAUUUGCUCACAUCCCAUCAGUGGGACAGGGGAGAGAACUGGAAAAAAGGCAAGUCAUGGGUUGAUAUAGACAGCUUUGUAGAGCAGAAAAUAAAAGGAAAAUAGCAAUAAUGAUGAUGACAAAAGAAUAUACAGAACAAGUGAUGCACAGUGCAGUUUCUCACCACCUGCUGACCCAUGCCCAGCCUGUCCUGGUAGUGCUCCCUCCCAGAUCCUUGUGCAUCACCAAAUCCUCGCUGGCAGGGCUAUAGGAGAAGCUGGGAAGUCCCACUGUAUGCACUGCUUCUGUAAGUAACAGUGUAAGUACUGUUCAGCAACAACUAUAACACUGGUGUGCUAUCAAAAUUAUUCUCAUCUUAAAUCAAAAACACAGCACCAUGCCAGCUACUUGGAAAGUUAACUCUCUCCCAUCUAAAACCAGAAGAGUUGUUACUGGGUGCAAUAGCUUCUUCUAGUACUUUAAAGGGUCUUCUCAUGCAUUUUCCUUGUAGGAGGUUUUUAAGACUCUCCAUAUGAGGUACUUUGUAGCAUGAGGAUCUGAUAACACCAUUGAGUAAUAUGAUUUGGUGGCUGGCCUUAGAAGUGCUUCUGGAAACAGAAGAGUUGCCUAUGAUAAAUACAAG